rnacentral:rRNA from 1 species
GACGGAAGGUGCAAGCGUUGCUCGGAAUCACUGGGCGUAAAGGGUGCGUAGGCGGCCGUGCAAGUCUGGCGUGAAAGCCCCGGGCUCAGCCCGGGAAGUGCGCUCGAAACUGCGCGGCUCGAGUGCCGGAGGGGAGAGUGGAAUUCCUGGUGUAGCGGUGAAAUGCGUAGAGAUCGGGAGGAACAUCAGUUGCGAAGGCGGCUCUCUGGACCAGCACUGACACUGAGGCACGAAAGCGUGGGGAGCAAACAGG